GCCCUUUAGCUCAGUUGGUAGAACAUGAGACUCUUAAACUCAGGGCUGUGCGUUCAAACCCCCCAUUGGGCA